AGCAGCCGCGGUAAUUCCAGCUCCAAUAGCGUAUAUUAAAGUUGUUGCAGUUAAAAGCUCGUAGUUGAAUUUCGGGAUCAAUUUAUUGGUCGUGCUAUCGUACGUACUGGUAUUAUUGAUUCCUACCUUCUGACGAACCAUGAUGUCAUUAAUUUGGUGUCAUGGGGAAUCAGGACUGUUACUUUGAAAAAUUGGAGUGUUUAAAGCAGGCUCACGCUUGAAUACAUUAGCAUGGAAUAACGAAAUAGGACGUUUGAUUCUAUUUGUUGGUUUCUAGGAUCGACGUAAUGAUUAAUAGGGAUAGUUGGGGCAUUAGUAUUCAAUUGUCAGAGUGAAAUUCUGGAUUUAUUGAAGACUAACUACUGCGAAAGCAUUUUCCAAGGAUGUUUCAUUAAUCAAGAACGAAAGUUAGGGAUCGAAGACGAUCAGAUACCGUCGUAGUCUUAACCAUAAACUAUGCCGACUAGGAUCGGAUGAUGUUAA
rnacentral:rRNA from 1 species